rnacentral:rRNA from 1 species
CUAAGAAUAUUCCGCAAUGGACGAAAGUCUGACGGAGCGACGCCGCGUGGAUGAAGAAGGCCGAAAGGUUGUAAAAUCCUUUUGCUGAUGAAGAAUAAGUGUGGUAGGGAAUGACCGCAUGAUGACAUUAGUCGGUGAAUAAGCCCCGGCUAACUACGUGCCAGCAGCCGCGGUAACACGUAGGGGGCGAGCGUUGUUCGGAAUUAUUGGGCGUAAAGGGCAUGUAGGCGGUUUUGUAAGCCUGGUGUGAAAUCCUGCAGCUUAACUGUAGAAUUGCAUUGGGUACUGCGAGACUUGAAUCACAGAGGGGAAACUAGAAUUCCAGGUGUAGGGGUGGAAUCUGUAGAUAUCUGGAAGAAUACCGGUGGCGAAGGCGGGUUUCUAGCUGAUGAUUGACGCUGAGGUGCGAAAGUGCGGGGAGCAAACA